rnacentral:tRNA from 1 species
UCCGACAUGGCUCAAUGGUAGAGCAUCCCGCUGUUAACGGGAGGGUUGUAGGUUCGAGUCCUACUGUCGGAG